rnacentral:rRNA from 1 species
UACGAAGGGGGCUAGCGUUGCUCGGAAUCACUGGGCGUAAAGGGCGCGUAGGCGGCGUUUUUAAGUCGGGGGUGAAAGCCUGUGGCUCAACCACAGAAUGGCCUCGAUACUGGGACGCUUGAGUAUGGUAGAGGUUGGUGGAACUGCGAGUGUAGAGGUGAAAUUCGUAGAUAUUCGCAAGAACACCGGUGGCGAAGGCGGUCUGCUGGGCCGUUGCUGACGCUGAGGCGCGACAGCGUGGGGGAGCAAACAGG